UUCAGCUUCACAUAAAUUUAUGUGAAUGUUAGAUUAAUAUACCUAUCAGGAGGCUAUUAUGGCUUUAGAUUCGGCUAAAAAACAAGAAAUUGUUACAAAAUACGGACGUAAUGAA
rnacentral:ncRNA from 1 species